UCUCCUGUAGCUCAGUGGUAAAGCAUCCGACCGGUGUGCGGAAAGUCAUAGGUUUGACCCCUGUUAAAAGAA